rnacentral:rRNA from 1 species
CCAAUAGCGUAUAUUAAAGUUGUUGCAGUUAAAAAGCUCGUAGUUGAAUUUCGGGAUCAGUACGCUGGUCGUGCCUUCGGUAUGUACUGGUGUUACUGGUUCCUACCUUCUGACGAACCGUCAUGUCAUUAAUUUGGUGUGGCGGGAAAUCAGGACUGUUACUUUGAAAAAAUUAGAGUGUUUAAAGCAGGCUCGCGCUUGAAUACAUUAGCAUGGAAUAAUGAAAUAGGACGUUCGAUCCUAUUUUGUUGGUUUCUAGGAUUGACGUAAUGAUUAAUAGGGAUAGUUGGGGGCAUUAGUAUUCAAUUGUCAGAGGUGAAAUUCUUGGAUUUAUUGAAGACUAACUACUGCGAAAGCAUUUGCCAAGGAUGUUUUCAUUAAUCAAGAGCGAAAGUUAGGGGAUCGAAGACGAUCAGAUACCGUCGUAGUCUUAACCAUAAACUAUGCCGACUAGGGAUCGGAUGAUGUUAAUUUUUUGAUGACUCAUUCGGCGCCUUACG